GACUGUGCAGUGACGCCCUCCCCACCCCAGGACUCUGGAGCUUUGGGAGCAGAAAGAUCCCAGGAGUUGAGGAUGAAUCCAGGGGGAGACCCCAGCCAGGGACUAAAGGCAGCUCCAGAGUCCAGACUUUCCCUCUUGCCCUUCCUGGGAAUCAAGUUCAAGUUUCUACAAAGAGCUAAAGAAGCCUCAAUCCCGCAUCUGAAUUAAUGUGACAUUUCUCGUGAUGUGGGGGAAAGAAACAAACGUCAUUUCAAUCCCAGAGGAGGACAUCCCGGAACCCGAGCACGAGGGGCUGCUUCACCACCGCAAUUUUAAUCCACAAAAAAUGAGACUCCAGUGUAAGGUCUGGCUUCACCUGCUUCUGGGAACUUUUUAGUGCCCUGAUAAUUAAAAAAAAAAUGCGGCCCUCCUUAUAAGCCAAUAUUUAAGGAAUAAUUCACUCCCCGCCAACCAAUCAUGGAUUCCUACCUGUGAUCCAGUAAUCCUUAUGGAAUGGUAUAAUAAAAAUACUAGCCAACUCAAAUAGGGGUUCAAAUAGAGGGUCCCUAUGAAAGUAACACCUGGAGUUCCACCUACCCACAAUUACCAUAUCAGUAAAAUAAGCCUGUUAAAACAGAAACAAUACUAAUGGUUAUGGUGGAAAACUGUCCAAUACCCCAUAGUAAAUUAAACCUAUGGUUCCCGGACACAUGCACCAAAACCUGGACCAAAAAAUAUGCAUUCAAAAACUCACUAGACCCAAUGAAAAAAAAAAAAAUCAUCACGAUAUAAACAGGGUGCCUUGCCAUGAAACUUUGGGUUUGUCCUGCCAAGAUUCCCCAGAGCAUUAUGUUGCGACCAACAGAAUACAGCUCCUCCCUACCCAUGAUCAACCUAGCUGGCCACUAGAUUGAUCCGGACCCUGGACUGGUAACUAUAAUAUCGACUGGUAGGACAGUGUAUGCAUGUGUGUGUGUGUGUGCAAUUGAAUGCUUAUGCUAAUUGUUGUAUCUUCAACAAACAGAGCAUAUUGCCUUUUCCCCUGAAAAAGAUCCUGUGUGCUUCUAAUAAGUAUAACAAUAUGAAGUUAUUAGAAUUGUGUAGUAUGGUUGUCACUAAAAAAUGCUGUAAAUUGGGGAAAUCCACCAGAUAUUAGCUCCCGAGAGGCAACAGCAAGGAAAGUAACCAACGCCCGGGCGGGGUGUCAACCCAUCAACAGCCAUUGUCCACCAAGGGAGCUAACAAUACAAUGACUCACCUGCAUGAGGCCACACCAGGGGAAUUGCUCAACCUUGCUUGGAGAGACUCAGAAAUGCUCACCUGACUGAAGCGGGGGGAAGGGGGGGAAGCAAAGCCAUGAGGGAAGAAAGGAUAGGAUAAAAGGGAGAGACAUUUGCCAUUCUGGCUCUCUCUCUUCCACCUACAUCUACAGACAUCACCACCACCAAGCGACUGAAGCGCUGAUCAAAGCAGAGAGCCUGAUUGAAAAGUAACCAGCCAGCCUGUGGUGAGAAGCAUCUAAGGACAUUGAAAGUGUUAAGAUCAGCUUAAAAUGUGUCUUGCUUUUAUUUCAUUUGACCAAA